rnacentral:lncRNA from 1 species
CCCCCCAAUUCAAGGUAAAUGCCCCUGCUACAUUAAACUGUCAGAUCACCUAACAAUUUUAACUGCCUUAUUCUAUCUAACUAAUGUAGCUGCUUUGUCUCACCUCUCCUGGUUUUGUUUUAUUCUUUUCUCAUGUGUCAUAUCAACAUAAUUAUAUUUAUAUUUCCAUCAUUUUUUGUACUAGGAUGACCACCAAGCAAGUGUAAAGUGAUUUUCAAUCAUAAAACAAUACAAAAGGUAAACAACUCAACCAUUUAAUCUUAUUUAAAUAAUUGCUUUAAGAACAUUGAACAAAAUACUAAAUAUCUUUCCUUUGAUUAUAAAAGGAUCCAAUGUCACCACAACAAAUCUGAUGAAGAAGAAGAACCAUCGGUGUUUAAAAAGAAAACAAAGGUAACAUCGACAAAGCUGAGACAAUGUGCACAUUUGAUCAGGAUGAAAUCAACUGCAUAGAUGGCAUUACCUCCUCUGAUGAAGAACAAAUUUUGAUUCAAACCUUAAGGACAAACACAUCUAGGAGAACCAAAGCUAGCAAUACAAUAUACAAACACUAUGAGGAAGCCAACAAGAAUAGCUAGAUAUAAAAAAUAAAAAGAGCAAUUCCAUAUGCGCAGCUUAUAUUUUAUUUUUUGCAAUUUAUAUCAUGUAUU